CCUAUGGAGAGUACAAGAACUUGUAAGUAGUGUCUGAAAAAUUUCAGGACGAAAGCAUACUCGAAGACGUAGGAA
rnacentral:sRNA from 12 species